rnacentral:lncRNA from 1 species
ACGGGCGCCUAGGGACUACCUUGAGCAGGACUCAGGAUGAUGCUCAUUUUACAGGGGUUUGGAUGCUUCAUCUCUGCUGAGACCCAGUGCCUUCCACUGAAGGUGCUCAGGAAAUACCUUCUGAAUGAUCAGAAGCCCCUGCUAUCUGCUAAACUGGAUCUAUGAUGACAGAAGCCGAGGAAUGUGAGGUUCAUCUAGAGAGCUCUUGUGAGUUUUCCAAGGGAGGCACCUGUUGAACUCAGGCAUGGGCAUGUGACUUGAUUUGGUCAAUGAAAUGUGAGAGAAGUGACAUCCACUUUGAGGCAGGCACUUUCCAAAUGCCAUCAAGCUGAGAUGUGAAGUGGAAGUGAGGCAGAGGCUGCCUUCCUUUUGUUUGGCGCAGCGUUCUGUGAGAGAGCAGAGGUGGGAGAUGAGGGGACCUCUGCCCCAGUGUUUCUGCAUCCAAGCUCCAGCAUUGUUGAAGGUUGCUCUGACAGCCACUCUCCAUACUGCUGCCAGAAGGACCUUCAAAUAUCGCUCUUUUUAAUUAAAAAGCAAAACUCUUC